rnacentral:lncRNA from 1 species
ACCUCGACGCUCGAAAUCGCGCAAAACGGUACAUAAAAUAUAGGGCUUUCCGCGAAUUUUUCAUUUUUCAAUUUUGACCCCUCAGUAAACUUUAUGCGAUUCCCAGAUAUCCGUCAGUCAGAUUUUCGAUCGGAUUGCGCCAGCGCGUUUAGCACGACUGGGGCAUCGAAUCUACAAUUUUAUUUCGUCAGAUUUGAUCGCCGAUUUGUGACGAAACCCAUCCUCUCCGCAUUCCACCAAUAUAUCCAUAUAUAUAUACACAUAUAUUUAUAUAUAAUUGAAAUUUAAAAUUCAGAUUCGAAAUUUCCUUUAUAUUCGAAUUAUAGUUAUUACAUCAUUCCCCCUUAUAAGAAGUUUCAUCCUCGAAACUUAAUCAAGCAUCCCCUGCAAACAACUGCGGAUAUCGUUCCCUCAUAGAAGACUCAAGCUCCUACAUAGCAUCGCGCUCCCACUGAACCUUAACAUACGGAAUGCUCCUGUCCAGCAAUUGCUUCACC